GACGAACGCUGGCGGCGUGCUUAACACAUGCAAGUCGAACGGAAAGGCCCUGCUUUUGUGGGGUGCUCUAGUGGCGAACGGGUGAGUAACACGUGAGUAACCUGCCCUUGACUUUGGGAUAACUUCAGGAAACUGGGGCUAAUACCGGAUAGGAGCUCCUGCUGCAUGGUGGGGGUUGGAAAGUUUCGGCGGUUGGGGAUGGACUCGCGGCUUAUCAGCUUGUUGGUGGGGUAGUGGCUUACCAAGGCUUUGACGGGUAGCCGGCCUGAGAGGGUGACCGGCCACAUUGGGACUGAGAUACGGCACAGACUCCUACGGGAGGCAGCAGUGGGGAAUAUUGCACAAUGGGCGGAAGCCUGAUGCAGCAAAGCAGCGUGCGGGAUGACGGCCUUCGGGUUGUAAACCGCAUUCGCCUGUGACGAAGCGUGAGUGACGGUAAUGGGUAAAGAAGCACCGGCUAACUACGUG
rnacentral:rRNA from 1 species